UUUAUCCCACUAUUAAAGACAUACUUUUAGGGUUUUAUUGUUUUCUUCUUUCUUCAUUCCCUUCAUCUCUCUCUCACCGCCUCUCUGCUUCCUAUUCGUUCAACUCUCAACUCUUUACAUACAUUCAUUCACCUCCUUUCUUUCUUCAAUUGCAAAUAACUUUUGCUUUUCCAUGCCCAUAUAGUCUACCAACUCUGAGCUACUCUUUAUCCAACGUAAGAUUCUUACACUUUUAUUAACACAAACUAUAGAAGAAUUUGUCCCUUAAUUUCUGAUUCAUUUGUCAUACGUGCGUUAUUCUUGUCCAGUUUGUUCUCUCUUCUUCAUUCUAAACGCUAGUAAUAACAGAGUUUGUCUAGUUAUUCUAACCAACUAGCACAAUGUCUCUUUUAAUUUGUGUCAUCUGUUUAUUAAGUUAUUUCCCCUGUUUUUUCCCAGUCAUGGCACUCCGAAUGAUCCAGUACACUCAAUUUUUGACGUCUUGACAACUCGUAAGAAAGACGACUUUUUUGAAAUAUCAUAUGGCAAACCCUUUGUCCAAAAUGUUACGCUACUUUUUGAAGUUCCCAACAAUGUCAGUUUUUCAACCUUUUCUUCAGUUUUCCAAACAUCUUAUGCUUCACUUCCUCUGUUCCAGCAUGCGCAUUCAACAUAAUUUUGGAGGAUUUUGAAGUUUAAAGUUCUGGUAAUUUUGGAAGAUUUUGAAGUUUGAUGUUUGAAGUUCUGGAAAAUCAUAACCAUGUAGCAGGUUGUAUCGACAUUGUAUAAUAGUGUAUAUGGAUAUACAGACACCUCUUAUACACUAUUAUACAUGUUUAUACAAGUUAUACAGUAUUGUUUAAAUGUGUAUAUUUGUGUAUAAUAUUGUAUAAAUAUAUUUUUUCAGUUUAUAACAAUGUAUAUACAUUGUUAGUGUAUAACAGGUCUCUAUAGAAGUUUGACACUUCCUUCGCUUCUUCUUUUUCGUACAAUGUGUUGUAUGUGCGUUGGAGGGAUUCUAUAAUUCAUUUACCAAGUUUUUAUUUUUCUUUUAUCCUAUUAAAUUGCUUCAGCAAUUGCACAUAAAAGUGUUUGCGUUUCUUACCUUUAGAUAAUAUGUAUUAUUCAGGAUUAUUGAAUUGCGUUUGUGGCUGAUUUGUGAGGCUGCGGAUUCUAAAAUGUAGAACAAUAACUGCAAGAAAGUUUAUUCAAAUUCGACGGAAUAUAAAUGUAAACAACCAUGGAGUAGGUCAACUUCACCAUGAAGUGAAACAAGUCAUGUCAAAAUACAUGCCUUUUAAUUAAAUUCAAGACUUAAGCCUUUAACAUCCAUGAGGAACCUUAAUUUUACAUUGCUUUGGCAGUUUCAUGACAGCUUCAGGAUUGAUUUGCGAGGCAGCAGAUUUGCGAGGGAGCAAAAUAAGCUGUUUUUCAGGAAUUAGCAUAUUAUUUCUUGGGCUAUAGAUUUACAAAAUGAUAUCUAGGCUAUUAUAUUGUAAGUCAGGUGUGUAACUUGUAUUUAUGUGAAAU
rnacentral:lncRNA from 1 species